UACGAAGGGGGCUAGCGUUGCUCGGAAUUACUGGGCGUAAAGCGUGCGCAGGCGGUUUUGUAAGCCAGAUGUGAAAUCCCCGGGCUCAACCUGGGAAUGGCAUUUGGGACUGCAAGGCUGGAGUGUGGCAGAGGAGACUGGAAUUCCUGGUGUAGCAGUGAAAUGCGUAGAUAUUAGGAGGAAUACCGAUGGCGAAGGCAGGUCUCUGGGCUGACACUGACGCUCAUGCACGAAAGCGUGGGGAGCAAACAGG
rnacentral:rRNA from 1 species